rnacentral:snRNA from 1 species
GCAGAACUGAUUUGCAAAAUCAGUAGGAAUGAUACAGAGAUUAGCAUGUCCCCUAUGCAAGCAUGACACACAAAUUCAUGAAGCUUUCCAUAUUUUA